UGUGCCCGGGUAAGUCCUAUACGGCCAGCUCCCUGUGAAUCCCCCAGGGUUUGACCGCAGCAAGGGUAGCCGGUUGUAGCGGCGCGAUGUAGAUAGCUUACCCACCU
rfam:Bacteroides sp. CAG:20 genomic scaffold, scf270